AUUGAACGCUGGCGGUAUGCUUAACACAUGCAAGUCGAACGGAAACGAUACUAGCUUGCUAGUAGGCGUCGAGUGGCGGACGGGUGAGUAACGCGUAGGAAUCUGCCUGAUAGUGGGGGAUAGCCCGGAGAAAUUCGGAUUAAUACCGCAUAAUCUAUUCGUAGUAAAGUGGGGGACUUUCGAGCCUCACGCUAUCAGAUGAGCCUGCGUAAGAUUAGCUAGUUGGUAGGGUAAAAGCCUACCAAGGCGACGAUCUUUAGCUGGUCUGAGAGGAUGAUCAGCCACAUCGGGACUGAGACACGGCCCGAACUCCUACGGGAGGCAGCAGUGGGGAAUAUUGGACAAUGGGGGCAACCCUGAUCCAGCAAUACCGCGUGUGUGAAGAAGGCCUGAGGGUUGUAAAGCACUUUCAAUUGUGAAGAAAAGUUAGCGGUUAAUAACCGUUAGCCUUGACGUUAACUUUAGAAGAAGCACCGGCUAACUCCGUGCCAGCAGCCGCGGUAAUACGGAGGGUGCAAGCGUUAAUCGGAAUUACUGGGCGUAAAGCGUGCGUAGGCGGUUUAUUAAGUCAGAUGUGAAAGCCCCGGGCUUAACCUGGGAACUGCAUUUGAAACUGGUAAACUAGAGUAUGGUAGAGGAAAGUGGAAUUUCUGGUGUAGCGGUGAAAUGCGUAGAUAUCAGAAGGAACAUCAAUGGCGAAGGCAGCUUUCUGGACCAAUACUGACGCUGAGUACG
rnacentral:rRNA from 1 species